rnacentral:lncRNA from 1 species
AUUUUUUUUUUCUUUGGGAGUGCAUGGCCAGCAGCACCAUCGGGGUUUGCUCUGAAUCUCCUCAGGAAACAAAAGUAUCCCAGAUGCUAGCACACCUGGUAACACAUCCAUAGAGCUGGCCUCUCACAGCAGCAUAGGUGUUUGUGUCACACUUUUCACAUGCUGCUGUUUGCCAACCCAGAGUGCUCUUGGAGAGUUGUGUCCCAGUGAAAAGAUUGGAAAUCCAAUAAUUCCUUGCACUACAGCUGGUGGGACUGCGGCCUUUCUGAUUUUUGUAGCAGCUUCCAGUUCAUGUGUGUGGAAGUGGCCAGGGCAGAGAAUGGGGUCCAUGCCACCCAGAAAUCCUCUUCCCUUGCAGUUUGGUGCUUCACUCAUGAGCCUGUUCAUAGCUCCAUGGGUUUUUAAAAGGAGAUUGGAAAGGUUUGAUGAAACAGAGAGAGAGAAACAGUUUGCAGAAGCACAAAAACAAAUCUACAGAAAUGUUGAUGGAGGUGACACAACUCAUCCCUUCACCUAA